CUCCAUCCCUAAGCACAGAUUAACCUUGCUUCCCCUCAGAUGGGCCAGGCUGUUCUGCAGCGGGGCGUAGGGUGCGGGGCUGGGAUGAAACCUUGGACAGGCAGUGGGCACAUCAGAGGGGCUCCCGGAGGAGCUCCUGCAGCCUGGGAGAUCUGUCAGAAGGAGCAGCUUUUCCGCCCUCACCAAUGUUUCCCUAACCCUGACCAUGCCAAGCUCAUCACAGCUUCAUCCUUCUUCCCUGGCUCCUCCCUCUGCCCAGGUGACGGCCAGAUACAGCUCACAAUGGGAGAAAUAGCUGUGAAAAACGUUACUGGAACAACUGGGCUUUGAAUAUGGACUGCGGAUGAAGCAAUGUUAUUAUAUUGAUCUUAAAUGGGCCAGUAGUAAUGAAAUUAUAUAAGAGAAUGCCAUGACUUUUAGGAGACAUGCACUGAAGUAUUUAAGGGGAAAAAUCCCAUGCUGUCUGACACUUUCAAAGGAACUGGGACAGCCAGGCGUGGUGGCACACGCCUGUAAUCCCAGCACUCAUGAGGCUGAGCCAAGAGGAUUGCUGAGAGUUCGAGACCAGCCUGGGCUACAAAGUGAGCUCAAGGUCAGCCUGAACUGCAUAACGAGACCACUUCUCAAAAAAAAAAAGGAACUGGGACAAAAUAGUGAUGCUUGGUAAGUCUGAGAGAAGGGAUAUUGGUGUUCAUGUUGGCAUUUCUUUCAACUUUUCUCUGGGUUUGAACUUUUUCAAAAUAAAUUGGUAUAAAAGGUAGUUUACUUUGCCUUAGUUUUUUUAAGAUGGACAAUUUUUUUUUUUUGUACUGGGAAUUGAACUCAUGACCUCAGGCUUGCCAAGCAAGCACUUAUGCCACUGAGCUACAUUCCUGGCCAAGAUGGACAAUUUAAAGCAAAAAAUUAUCCAAGAAUAUUCAGUUUUUCAUGGGCAUUAUGAAGCACUCAGGGAG
rnacentral:lncRNA from 1 species